UACAGAGACUGCAAGCGUUAUUCGGAUUCAUUGGGCGUAAAGGGUGCGUAGGCGGCGCGGUAAGUCGGGUGUGAAAUCUCGGAGCUUAACUCCGAAACUGCAUUCGAUACUGCCGUGCUUGAGGACUGGAGAGGAGACUGGAAUUUACGGUGUAGCGGUGAAAUGCGUAGAUAUCGUAAGGAAGACCAGUGGCGAAGGCGGGUCUCUGGACAGUUCCUGACGCUGAGGCACGAAGGUCAGGGGAGCAAACGGG
rnacentral:rRNA from 1 species